rnacentral:rRNA from 1 species
GACGAACGCUGGCGGCGUGCUUAACACAUGCAAGUCGAACGGAAAGGCCCUGCUUUUGUGGGGUGCUCGAGUGGCGAACGGGUGAGUAACACGUGAGUAACCUGCCCUUGACUUUGGGAUAACUUCAGGAAACUGGGGCUAAUACCGGAUAGGAGCUCCUGCUGCAUGGUGGGGGUGGGAAAGUUUCGGCGGUUGGGGAUGGACUCGCGGCUUAUCAGCUUGUUGGUUGGGUAGUGGCUUACCAAGGCCUUGACGGGUAGCCGGCCUGAGAGGGUGACCGGCCACAUUGGGACUGAGAUACGGCCCAGACUCCUACGGGAGGCAGCAGUGGGGAAUAUUGCACAAUGGGCGGAAGCCUGAUGCAGCAACGCCGCGUGCGGGAUGACGGCCUUCGGGUUGUAAACCGCUUUCGCCUGUGACGAAGCGUGAGUGACGGUAAUGGGUAAAGAAGCACCGGCUAACUACGUG